AGCGAACGCUGGCGGCAGGCUUAACACAUGCAAGUCGAACGGGCGUAGCAAUACGUCAGUGGCAGACGGGUGAGUAACGCGUGGGAACGUGCCUUUUGGUUCGGAACAACUGAGGGAAACUUCAGCUAAUACCGGAUAAGCCCUUACGGGGAAAGAUUUAUCGCCAAAAGAUCGGCCCGCGUCUGAUUAGCUAGUUGGUGAGGUAAUGGCUCACCAAGGCGACGAUCAGUAGCUGGUCUGAGAGGACGACCAGCCACACUGGGACUGAGACACGGCCCAGACUCCUACGGGAGGCAGCAGUGGGGAAUUUUGGACAAUGGGCGCAAGCCUGAUCCAGCCACGCCGCGUGCGGGAAGAAGGCCUUCGGUUGUAA
rnacentral:rRNA from 1 species